UACGGAGGGGGCUAGCGUUGUUCGGAAUUACUGGGCGUAAAGCGUACGUAGGCGGCUUGGUAAGUUAGAGGUGAAAGCCCGGAGCUCAACUCCGGAAUUGCCUUUGAAACUAGAUAGCUAGAAUCUUGGAGAGGUCAGUGGAAUUCCGAGUGUAGAGGUGAAAUUCGUAGAUAUUCGGAAGAACACCAGUGGCGAAGGCGACUGACUGGACAAGUAUUGACGCUGAGGUGCGAAAGGCGUGGGGAGCAAACAGG
rnacentral:rRNA from 1 species